rnacentral:rRNA from 1 species
GAUGAACGCUGGCGGCGUGCCUAAUACAUGCGAGUCGAGCGAACGGACGAGAAGCUUGCUUCUCUGAUGUUAGCGGCGGACGGGUGAGUAACGCGUGGACAACCUACCUAUAAGACUGGGAUAACUUCGGGAAACCGUAGCUAAUACCGGAUAAUAUUUUGAACCGCAUGGUUCAAAAGUGAAAGACGGUCUUGCUGUCACUUAUAGAUGGAUCCGCGCUGCAUUAGCUAGUUGGUAAGGUAACGGCUUACCAAGGCAACGAUGCAUAGCCGACCUGAGAGGGUGAUCGGCCACACUGGAACUGAGACACGGUCCAGACUCCUACGGGAGGCAGCAGUAGGGAAUCUUCCGCAAUGGGCGAAAGCCUGACGGAGCAACGCCGCGUGAGUGAUGAAGGUCUUCGGAUCGUAAAACUCUGUUAUUAGGGAAGAACAUAUGUGUAAGUAACUGUGCACAUCUUGACGGUACCUAAUCAGAAAGCCACGGCUAACUACGUG